UUCGAUUCUGGCUCAGAACGAACGCUGGUAGCGUGGAUUAGGCAUGCAAGUCGAACGGGAUCCGGGAGGUAGCAAUACUCCUGGUGAGAGUGGCGGAUUGGGGAGGAACACGUGAGCAACCUGCCUUUGAGUCGGGGAAAACCGUUGGAAACGACGGCUAAUACCGGAUGUGGCGCCCGGAGACAUCUCCGGAGCGCUAAAGGGGGCCGCAAGGCUCUCGCUCGUAGAGGGGCUCGCGCACCAUCAGCUUGUUGGCGGGGUAACGGCCCACCAAGGCCUACGGUUAGCUGGUCUGAGAGGAUGACCAGCCCCACUGGGACUGAGAUACUGCCCAGACUCCUACGGGAGGCUGCAGUCGAGGAUCAUUUGCAAUGGGCGAAAGCCUGACAAUGCGACGCUGCGUGGAGGACGAAGGCCUUCGGGUCGUAAAGCUCUGUCAAGAGGAAAGAAGUGUACAAUGGCUAAUACCUGUUGUAUUUGACGGUACCUCUAAAGGAAGCACCGGCUAACUCCGUGCCAGCCGCUGC
rnacentral:rRNA from 1 species